rnacentral:rRNA from 1 species
UACGGGGGGGGCAAGCGUUUGUUCGGAAUUAUUGGGCGUAAAGAGCUCGUAGGCGGUCUGUCGCGUCGGGAUGUGAAAAUCCAGGGCCACCAACGUGCCUGCAUUCGAUACGGGCAGACUAGAGUUCGGCAGGGGGAGACUGGAAUUCCUGGUGUAGCGGUGAAAUGCGCAGAUAUCAGGAGGAACACCAAUGGCGAAGGCAGGUCUCUGGGCACUACUGACGUGAGAGCGAA